AUACCUUUCUCUUUGCCCUGUGGCCUCCCUAGUCAUCUGGCAUGUGAGAAUGCUGAAAGCGGUGAAGUUCCUGGGAAAGCUGCUGACUUCCUAUUAAAGAAUAUUUGAGAUCUGCAAAAGAUUUCCAAGAAGAGGAUUUUACUUGGACAGAAAAGUGUCAUCUUCUACCAUAUACUCUUCAUUGUAAAGUAAAAAUACCUAAAUUGAACUAAAGYUGAAAUAAAUACAGCUGAAAACUGCAUGAAUAUUCUGGAAAGGAUUUUUGGAAGAGUGGGAAUGGAAGAGUGCCAAAGGACCAUUGUGGGCAUUGCAACCAGAAUUUUUGUAAGGGCACUUGAAUUUUGCACCACGAGGUGGAGACUCUUACCAA